UCUUGGCCCCAUUGUUCCUAACACUGUGAUGUCCAAGAGCUUGGCGAUGGCAGAGCCUUUGAUGAGGGUCUUCCUGCUGAAGGUGGAGGAGGCCAUCUCAAGGAGAGACAGAGGAAGGGUCUUGGAGAUCCUUGGCUAGGCCUGUUUCUUCACACCUUGGCAGGUGCCAUUCUGAAAUUUACUAAUGGGAGACGGUCAUAAGCCAUGUGACAAAACAUAAAAUGAAGUGGCAGAUGGCUGGCCUACCACAUGUGAGGAGACCAUUGGAUGCUCAGGAAACUCCAGGACCAGUAACACCCUGUAAAUGACCACGUGAUGGGAGAAGAUCCUCGGGAAAAUUAAUUCCACAAGGACCAGAGUCCUGAUGACUGAAGAGUACAUUCAGGCCCUCGGUGGUUUCUCUUGAAAAGUGAAUGGAAUAGGUACACAAAGCUGAGGCAAGGAUACCUGAGGUUUGCCUCCAAGAGCCCACGACAAUCAGAUGCCAUGAGGAAUCGCUGCAGAAAGAAGGUUGAGUGGAGAGCAGAAAUGGGAAGACCCGAUCACGUGGAAACUGAGUUCUGGAAGGGAGAAGAUGCCAAAGGGGAGACCAUUGGAUGCUCAGGAAACUCCAGGACCGGUAACACCCUGUAAAUGAUGACCUGAAGGUUCAGGAUCCUGAGGAAAAUUAAGAUCCACAAGGACCAGAGUCCUGAUGACUGAAGAGUAGAUUCAGGCCCUGUGUGGUUUCUCUUGAAAAGUGAAAGGAAUCAGGCACAGAAAGCUGAGGCGGGUACACCUGAGCUUUGGCAUCCAAGAGCAGGAGACAAUGGAUCCCAAGAGGAAAGGCCAGAGAAAGAAGACUGAGUGCAGAGCAGAAAGGGGACGACUUGUUCACGUGGAAAAUGGGUGCAUAGAGACAGAGAGGAGGCCUGUGGGCAAGGAUACCUGAGGUUUGCCUCCAAGAGCCCAAGACAAUCAGAUGCCAUGAGGAAUCGCUGCAGAAAGAAGGUUGAGUGGAGAGCAGAAAUGGGAAGACCCGAUCACGUGGAAACUCAGUUCUGGAAGGGAGAAGAUGUCAACGAGGUACUGUGGCCAUAGCAAAAUGAUACCUGAAGCUGAGUAAUCUGUAACGACUACACAUUUCUUGGCCCCAUUGUUCCUAACACUGUGAUGUCCAAGAGCUUGGCGAUGGCAGAGCCUUUGAUGAGGGUCUUCCUGCUGAAGGUGGAGGAGGCCAUCUCAAGGAGAGACAGAGGAAGGGUCUUGGAGAUCCUUGACUAGGAGACCACUGGAUGCUCAGGAAACUCCAGGACCAGUAACACCUUGUAAAUGACCACGUGAUGGGAGAAGAUCCUCGGGAAAAUUAAUCUCACAAGGACCAGAGUCCUGAUGACUGAAGAGUAGAUUCAGGCCCUCGGUGGUUUCUCUUGAAAAGUGAACGGAAUAGGUACACAAAGCUGAGGCAAGGAUACCUGAGGUUUGCCUCCAAGAGCCCACGACAAUCAGAAGCCAUGAGAAAUAUCUCUGGAAAAGAAGGUUGAGUGGAGAGCAGAA